rnacentral:rRNA from 1 species
GACGAACGCUGGCGGCGUGCUUAACACAUGCAAGUCGAACGGAAAGGCCCCCUUGUGGGGUACUCGAGUGGCGAACGGGUGAGUAACACGUGAGUAACCUACCCUUGACUUUGGGAUAACUUCAGGAAACUGGGGCUAAUACCGGAUAGGAGCUCCUGCUGCAGGGUGGGGGUUGGAAAGUUUCGGCGGUUGGGGAUGGACUCGCGGCUUAUCAGCUUGUUGGUGGGGUAGUGGCUCACCAAGGCUUUGACGGGUAGCCGGCCUGAGAGGGUGACCGGCCACAUUGGGACUGAGAUACGGCCCAGACUCCUACGGGAGGCAGCAGUGGGGAAUAUUGCACAGUGGGCGGAAGCCUGAUGCAGCAACGCCGCGUGCGGGAUGACGGCCUUCGGGUUGUAAACCGCUUUCGCCUGUGACGAAGCGUGAGUGACGGUAAUGGGUAAAGAAGCACCGGCUAACUACGUG